UACGUAGGGGGCAAGCGUUGUCCGGAAUUAUUGGGCGUAAAGAGCUCGUAGGCGGCUCGGUAAGUCGGGUGUGAAACCCCCAGGCUCAACCUGGGGACGCCACCCGAUACUGCUGUGGCUAGAGUCCAGUAGGGGAGUGUGGAAUUCCCGGUGUAGCGGUGAAAUGCGCAGAUAUCGGGAGGAACACCAGCGGCGAAGGCGGCGCUCUGGGCUGGAACUGACGCUGAGGAGCGAAAGCGUGGGUAGCAAACAGG
rnacentral:rRNA from 1 species